rnacentral:rRNA from 1 species
GGAGGGUGCAAGCGUUAAUCGGAAUUACUGGGCGUAAAGCGUGCGUAGGCGGUUUAUUAAGUCAGAUGUGAAAGCCCCGGGCUUAACCUGGGAACUGCAUUUGAAACUGGUCAACUAGAGUAUGGUAGAGGAAAGUGGAAUUUCUGGUGUAGCGGUGAAAUGCGUAGAUAUCAGAAGGAACAUCAAUGGCGAAGGCAGCUUUCUGGACCAAUACUGACGCUGAGGUACGAAAGCGUGGGUAGCAAACAGGAUUAGAUACCCUGGUAGUCCACGCCGUAAACGAUGAUAACUAGCCGUUGGGGGGAUUUACCCUUUAGUGGCGAAGCUAACGCGUUAAGUUAUCCGCCUGGGGAGUACGGCCGCAAGGCUAAAACUCAAAGGAAUUGACGGGGACCCGCACAAGCGGUGGAGUAUGUGGUUUAAUUCGAUGCAACGCGAAGAACCUUACCUGGUCUUGACAUCCUGCGAACUUUCUAGAAAUAGAUUGGUGCCUUCGGGAACGCAGUGACAGGUGCUGCAUGGCUGUCGUCAGCUCGUGUCGUGAGAUGUUGGGUUAAGUCCCGUAACGAGCGCAACCCCUAUCCUUAUUUGCCAGCACGUCAUGGUGGGAACUAUAAGGAGACUGCCGGUGAUAAACCGGAGGAAGGCGGGGACGACGUCAAGUCAUCAUGGCCCUUACGACCAGGGCUACACACGUGCUACAAUGGGAAGGACAAAGAGCCGCGAAGCCGCGAGGUGUAGCUAAUCUCAGAAACCUUUUCGUAGUCCGGAUUGGAGUCUGCAACUCGACUCCAUGAAGUCGGAAUCGCUAGUAAUCGUAGAUCAGAAUGCUACGGUGAAUACGUUCCCGGGUCUU